rnacentral:rRNA from 1 species
UACGAAGGGGGCUAGCGUUGCUCGGAAUUACUGGGCGUAAAGGGAGCGUAGGCGGACAUUUAAGUCAGAGGUGAAAUCCCGGAGCUUAGCUUCGGAACUGCCUUUGAUACUGGGUGUCUUGAGUGUGAGAGAGGUAUGUGGAACUCCGAGUGUAGAGGUGAAAUUCGUAGAUAUUCGGAAGAACACCAGUGGCGAAGGCGACAUACUGGCUCAUUACUGACGCUGAGGCUCGAAAGCGUGGGGAGCAAACAGG